GGUAAAAUGGCUGAGUAAGCCUUAGACUGUAAAUCUAAAUGCAGAACUUUAAGUUCUCUUUUUACCA
rnacentral:tRNA from 1 species